GCCGCAUGUGUAUGUGUGUGUGUGUGUGCAUGUGUAUGUACACAUGCGUGUGAGUGUGUGUGUGCGCGUGUGUGCGUGCGUGUGUGUGUGUGGUCCAUGAAAGAAAAUAAGCAGCACUAAUGUGACAUUCUUCCUGUCUUGGAUCAGCUUUUCAGUUUCAAAGAAAAUUGUUUGCAGUGGAAGUAAAGACAUCCAGCCCACCUGUUGUUCAGGAUCGCUUAGAUCCGCUGUAGCUAGUCUCUGUGCAGAGAGACACACUGUAUGUCACUCAGCUACAUCAAUGGACCAAAUCUCUUCCACGCGGCUAGUAAACCACAGAGGAAUAUGCUCUACAAUCCUGGGGAACUCUGCAAGAACAGUCAAGGGUGUGAAGAACAGAGGGAAGGCUGAGAAAGGGAAAGGAGUCUUGACCAGGGCCCAGAGAUGUGCGGCCGGCCUGCCUGCAGCUCUGCACCUCUGGGACCCAGUCCCGGCCACCGGGUUUUAGCUGUGCUGGUUUUAGCUCAUCCUUCAAAUUGGCUUUUGUUUUGGGACCCUUCCCUUCCCCCCACCACCAUCCUCUAGCUCACUCCUGCCUCCCAUUAAAAUGCAGCAGAAUGGGCUAGAUGGGCUAGAUGCAUCCCCCAGCUGGCUAGCAUUCCUCUGGUUUCCACUUGUGUCUGCCUCUCCUUUUUUCUGGGUCUGUGUUUCUGUGAUUAAAGUCUAUUUUUCCCUCUUUCCAUUCACUGACAUUUUCCUUUCUGACACGCAAUUUUUCAGAUGAAGUUUAAGUCUCAAAACUUGAGAAGGAAACUCCACUCACGAUACUAGGCCUGAAAUACAGGAUAACAACAAAGGCUAGACCUGCAACACUUCUGCUUGGGAAUGUGCUCAUUAGAAGGUAGAGGAGAUCAGAAACAACUAUAAAAGUGCCAGCUUUGUUAAUGUUGUAGUUAUCAUAAUAGAGUUUCCAUAGCACAAUUUACAUUGAUUUAUAGGAUUUUAGUCAUACCAUGAUGGGGUAUGUGAUAAUGUAUAGUACUGUCCUGUCAUAUCCUCCAUCCUCC
rnacentral:lncRNA from 1 species